CAUGUGUGCGUUCAAUGCGGAAGCUUAUACCUACUAAAAUUAAGUAUCUCUAAAAGUUAUUUUAUCGUUUAAUUUUUAUAAAAUUAAAUCCUGAAAACGUUAUCUUAACUUAAACGUAGCAAUAGUAUAAUAACACAAAUUGCAAUCGUAGCAAGUUUCGUGAAAAUUACGCGCUGUUUCAUUUUUCUGUUUGUUGUAUCGGCGACUUGAUCAGAUUCCUUUGCAUUCACAGAAAUUAAGAUGCCUAAAAUUAAGAAAGACGAAUGGGAGAAAUUGAUAUCGAAAGAAAUGCAAUUGGACAAUCUUCUCAGUGAUAAAAAGGCUAUUCAGGUUAUGCUUCUUCACCAAUAUAACGAUAUUAAAGAUGCAACGCAAGUAGUGAUCAAUCACAUAGCAAAUAUAGAAGGAACAACUGUAACUAAAAUACACAAAAGGCUGCACCUUUAUGAUUGAAAUAAAAGGCAUUUCAUAAUGA
rnacentral:misc_RNA from 1 species